GGGGGGGGCUGCCCUACCAGCCUGGCACCCGGGCUGUGAAGGUGCGCCAGACAGCAGCUGCCCGGACUGUCCUUUCUUCUCCCAGCUUUUUGUUCAGCCCUUUUGAUUUGAAAACAAGGCUCCUUUAUGCAUCGAGGGGCCUCCCCAAGCUUCACCGUCCCACCCAUGGCUGGUGAUUUCCUUUUCAUCUGGCGCUGGGAGCGCGACAGCCGCAGGAGGGACCUGAUGGUGUCACAGAACCUGGGUGACUCAGCUUUCAGUGGCAUUGUGGCCUCGGAGCUUUGAUAUCACAAGUGAGCGUCACAACAAAGGAGCUUCGAGGGGCUUCAGCAAGUGUCACUUCCAAAUUCCUGCUGGACUCUCGAGCUGUGGUCGGGUGCCUGCUUGGAAGCAAGAAGCCAUUAUCUCUUCCCAGCGAAUAAGAGUCAUCUGCGCAGGGCUUUGAUGCUCGGCGGUCCCGAAAAGAAGAAUGGCAUUUCUCUGGGCAUGCUGGAAUGUCCGGUGGGUAACCGGACCCACGCAAAAGGACACUGUGACCUCAUGUGACGAAGGAGGCAGAGGCUGGGCAGUGGGCUGUGUGAUGUAUGCGGAACCCCGGGAGCCCUAAAGACAGACGACAGACAGCUCUGCCCAUGGCUCCUUGGCCAGCACAGCCUGAGUGGGCAGAAGGCACCAUAACAAAUCUUGUUUGUCAGCUGUGGGGGAUCAUCUUGAUUAGGUUAAUUGAAGUGGUAUUCUGGUAAGUUUUAUUUAUGUCAAGUGUUAUCAACUUGACACAAGCUAAAGUCACUGAGAAGAGGGCCCCUCAGCUUGCUUCCAUCAGCUUGGCCUAAGGCCAUGUCUGUGAGGACCUGUCUUAGCUGAUGAUUGAUGUGGGAGGCCCAGCCACCGGAGGCAGUGCCAGUCCUGUGGAGGUGUGCCCAGGCUGUGUAAGAAGGCAGGCUGAAGCUGGACUGUGGUGGCACACGCCUUUAAUCCCAGCAUUUGGGAGGCAGAGGUGGUGGAUCUCUGAGUUCAAGGCCAGCCUGGUCUACAGAGUGAGUUCCAGAACUACACAGAGAAAUUGUCUUGAAAAACAACAAACAAACAAAAAACCAAAAAGACAACAAAGGAAAGAAAGCUGCUGAACACCAGCCACAGCGUGAGCCAGCAAGCAGCUUUCCUCCACAAUUUGCUGCCUCCAAAUCCCUGUCCUGACGUCCUUCAUGAUGGACUGUUUCCUGGGGGAACAAGCUGAGGUAUACCCAUUCCUCCUCCACGC